rnacentral:tRNA from 1 species
GCCUGCCUAGCUCAAUCGGAUAGAGCGUCAGACUCUUACUGAUUAUAGGCGGAUCUGAAGGCUGCGAGUUCGACCCUCGCGGUGGGCU